rnacentral:antisense_RNA from 1 species
CAUUAUGGUGUGGCGUAAUGAGGGAGCUAAAAGCUCGCUGGUUUCUAUGAACGCCAGUCUUCGAACCUUGUUACGUCUUGCCACCCCG